CCUGUCCCUAGAGGCAUUGCUGGUGUGGCUACUGUGUCAUGUAUGGUCAGUAGGUAGCAGAGAGGAGAGAAGCUAUGUCUAUCCUCAAUGUUCUCACCUGUGAACAUCUGAAUGAUUUGUAACCUAACACU